rnacentral:rRNA from 1 species
AUGGCAAUUUUCUUGUUCAUACUUGAUUUUUCAACUUUUUGUGUUUUUUCACACAUGGUAAAUUCAUCAUACAAACACACGACAAUUCUUGAUACAAAUUUGCCAUGCCAAGUUUUGAUACGAAUCUGCCAUGGCAAUUAUCUCAUUCAUAUGUUUGAUUUUCAACUUUCUGUGUGUUUUACACACACGGCAAAUUCAUCAUACCAAAACACGACAAUACUUGAUACAAAUCUGCCAUGCCAAGUUCUGAUACAAAUUUGGUUCAUUGAUCAUGGCAAAUUUAGUUUUCAAAUCAUGGCACUUUAG